AUCGUAAAACCUUCAGAAGGAAAGAAUGUUUUGUGGACCAUUUUUUUUUGUGUGUGUGGCAGUUUUAAGUU
rnacentral:pre_miRNA from 1 species